UAUAUGAGCAAUUCUGAACUUGAGACUGCUAUACAAGACUUUGGGUGGCGCUGUGCUAAUGUCUCUAGGAUAUACAGGACCCGAGCAUCAAGGAGAUGGCGGAGCAGAUCGCCAAGGACCCGUCCUUCAGCGAGAUGCCCCGUAAAUCUACUGUAUGAUCAAUCAAAACACGUUUUGUCCAAAGUCCAAACUUAAUGGUGUGAUAUUGUGGCAUAUUUACCCUGGAGCUAGCAUAUAUAUGGAGCUGACUUUGUUCCUGGAGGUGAGCAUAUAUUGUUGAUCUUCUCAUGUCAAUUGCAGCAGUUCCUUGAUUCACAAUUUAUAUAGUGUGGUAUAGUGGUUAUAUUUGGAG